rnacentral:rRNA from 1 species
AGUGAACGCUGGCGGCGUGCCUAACACAUGCAAGUCGAACGAUGAUGGAGAGCUUGCUCUCCUGAUUAGUGGCGCACGGGUGAGUAUACCAUAGAUAAUGUACCCCUUAGUUCGGGAUAGCCACUGGAAACGGUGAUUAAUACCGGAUACUCCUUCUCAUUAUAAGAUGAGUCGGGAAAGUUUUUUCGCUAAGGGAUCAGUCUAUGUCCUAUCAGCUAGUUGGUGAGGUAAUGGCUCACCAAGGCUAUGACGGGUAUCUGGUUUGAGAGGAUGAUCAGACACACUGGAACUGAGACACGGUCCAGACUCCUACGGGAGGCAGCAGUGAGGAAUAUUGCACAAUGGAGGAAACUCUGAUGCAGCAACGCCGCGUGGAGGAUGACGCAUUUCGGUGUGUAAACUCCUUUUAAGAGGGAAGAUUAUGACGGUACCUCUUGAAUAAGCACCGGCUAACCCCGUGCCAGCCGCCGCAGUAA